AGACUCAUUAUUAAUUAAACAAUAUAAAAUUGAAAUAAUUCGGACUUUGCUAAAAUUUAUAUAUAGACAUAUUAAAAUAACACUGGGUUGCUUGGAUGAAAUGACACUGGGUUGCUAUCGAUUUCUAUAGUGUAGGUUCAUAGCCGGGGAAGUAAUUGGGCACAAAUAUCAUUUAUAGAGAAUUUGCUGAUGCAAUGAGGGGCCGAAAUUCUUAUACAUGUGAUUAAGUUAUUAGCUAUAUGUGUAUAAUUAAGUAAUUAGGAAGCACUAGUUGGGGGUAUUUGUGUCCAUGGAGAUAUAGAGCUCGUUGUUGACAGUAUACUUACUGAGAGUGUGUAAGUGUAAUCAUGGAUCUGACUAUUUAAAUUAAAAAAUGGGGGUUCCGCUAACUUACAGAGUUGGUAAUUAUCACAUAUGCAUAUAUGCUCCCAUAUGAUAAUCUUAUCAUAAAUUGAAAGGGUACGAGGACUUGAUUGAAGAAAUAAACGGAUAUUUGAAUAAAAAAAAAUUUAUAAUAAAGACAAGUAUUAAUUUGUUAUGAAUGUAACUUACAUAAACGGUAAGUUAGCAGGAUCUUAAGUAAGAUUUUAUUAUUUAUUUAAAGAGUUAUUUUAGUAUUUAAAAUUUUAAAAGACAUUUUAAUUAAAAAAUUUUGAAUAUAAAAUAUUU
rnacentral:lncRNA from 1 species